AGCAGAAGCAGGAUCAUAUGAUAUUUAUGAGCUGGGAUCUGAUUCAAGUCCUCAAUCCACAGCAUACUUCACGGUUUCUCUUCACUUCCUUAAGAGUAGAUGUUCUAAUUUGGCUAAUUAAUUCUGCCAAGAAUGAGUACCAAAUGCUGAAUAGAAGACUGGUAUGAAGUCACUUGCCCAACCACAGAUGAAGGCUUGGUGCUGUUAGCAAAGUCAGGGUCAAUGUAAUGAUUUCCAGGAGCUGUGAUAGGGUGCAGGAGUAGAGAAAGCCUGAUGUCUGUGUUUUGGAUAAAGAUGAUAAUAUUUUUGAGGACACAA